rnacentral:rRNA from 1 species
UACGUAGGGACCAAGCGUUGUUCGGAUUUACUGGGCGUAAAGGGCGCGUAGGCGGCGCGGUAAGUCACUUGUGAAAUCUCUGAGCUUAACUCAGAACGGCCAAGUGAUACUGCAGUGCUAGAGUGUGGAAGGGGCAAUCGGAAUUCUUGGUGUAGCGGUGAAAUGCGUAGAUAUCAAGAGGAACACCGGUGGCGAAGGCGGGUCUCUGGGUCGAUACUGACGCUGAGGAGCGAAAGCGUGGGGAGCGAACAGG